rnacentral:rRNA from 1 species
GUUUAGACCGUCGUGAGACAGGUUAGUUUUACCCUCCUACUUGACACCUAGGGGGGCCUCCAUGGCCCGGCAUUGACCUUAAUAGUAGAUCAUCUCAGUACGAGAGGAACCGGUGAUUCAGGCCUCUGGUGUAAAGGCUGCUCGAAAGGGCAGAGCCUUAGCGCUACGCCUGUUGGAUGAAGGCUGGAAGCAUCUAAGCCCGAAGCCAUGCUAGACAAGGUCUUUGCCAUUCGCACUCGCCUCAUGGGGCGGGUGCACCAGAUAUUGCCCCAUCAACGACCGUGCGAGCCACAAAGGAAAGCUCUUUGGUGCACCGUAACCUUAGCCUUCGGGUUAGGAUGAGACAACGCAUCUGCCUCUCUUAAAGGGGUAACAGGGCUUUGUGGUUCAGGUCGGGCGCCAUGUCGCGUGAUAGACGAUCACUCGCAGCGUAGAACCUGUAAGUGGUUGAGCUGGUCGUCAUGGCAUUGCGAGGUACUGAUGGUG